rnacentral:rRNA from 1 species
AACGAACGCUGGCGGCAUGCCUAACGCAUGCAAGUCGAACGAGACCUUCGGGUCUAGUGGCGCACGGGUGCGUAACGCGUGGGAACCUGCCCUUAGGUUCGGAAUAACUCCCCGAAAGGGGUGCUAAUACCGGAUAAUGUCUUCGGACCAAAGAUUUAUCGCCUUUGGAUGGGCCCGCGUUGGAUUAGCUAGUUGGUAGGGUAAAAGCCUACCAAGGCGACGAUCCAUAGCUGGUCUGAGAGGAUGAUCAGCCACACUGGGACUGAGACACGGCCCAGACUCCUACGGGAGGCAGCAGUGGAGAAUAUUGGACAAUGGGCGAAAGCCUGAUCCAGCAAUGCCGCGUGAGUGAUGAAGGCCUUAGGGUUGUAAAGCUCUUUUACCCGGGAUGAUAAUGACAGUACCGGGAGAAUAAGCUCCGGCUAACUCCGUG